rnacentral:rRNA from 1 species
UACGUAGGGUGCGAGCGUUGUCCGGAAUUACUGGGCGUAAAGAGCUCGUAGGUGGUUUGUCGCGUUGUCCGUGAAAACUCACAACUCAAUUGUGGGCGUGCGGGCGAUACGGGCAGACUGGAGUACUGCAGGGGAGACUGGAAUUCCUGGUGUAGCGGUGGAAUGCGCAGAUAUCGUGGAGAACACCCGUGGCGAAGGCGGGCUUCUGGCUAAUAACUGACGCUGAGGUGCGAAAGCUAGGGGAGCGAACGGG